rnacentral:rRNA from 1 species
AUUGAACGCUGGCGGCAGGCUUAACACAUGCAAGUCGAGCGGGGGAAGGUAGCUUGCUACCGGACCUAGCGGCGGACGGGUGAGUAAUGCUUAGGAAUCUGCCUAUUAGUGGGGGACAACAUCUCGAAAGGGAUGCUAAUACCGCAUACGUCCUACGGGAGAAAGCAGGGGAUCUUCGGACCUUGCGCUAAUAGAUGAGCCUAAGUCGGAUUAGCUAGUUGGUGGGGUAAAGGCCUACCAAGGCGACGAUCUGUAGCGGGUCUGAGAGGAUGAUCCGCCACACUGGGACUGAGACACGGCCCAGACUCCUACGGGAGGCAGCAGUGGGGAAUAUUGGACAAUGGGGGGAACCCUGAUCCAGCCAUGCCGCGUGUGUGAAGAAGGCCUUAUGGUUGUAAAGAACUUUAAGCGAGGAGGAGGCUACUUUAGUUAAUACCUAGAGAUAGUGGACGUUACUCGCAGAAUAAGCACCGGCUAACUCUGUG